GAGAGCCGGAUGAUGCGAAAGUAUCAUGUCCGGUUCGGUGGGGGGAUAAUGGAAAAGGGGUCGCAAUGACUACCUCGCUAGUAUCCUACCCUAC
rfam:Streptococcus agalactiae LMG 14747 ctg7180000010268, whole genome shotgun sequence.